rnacentral:rRNA from 1 species
UACGUAGGGGGCAAGCGUUGUCCGGAAUCAUUGGGCGUAAAGAGCGUGUAGGCGGCUCGGUAAGUCCGCUGUGAAAGUCCAGGGGCUCAACCCCUGGAAUGCCGGUGGAAACUGUCGAGCUAGAGUCCGGAAGAGGCGAGUGGAAUUCCUGGUGUAGCGGUGAAAGUGCGCAGAUAUCGGGAGGAACACCAAUGGCGAAGGCAGCUCGCUGGGACGGUACUGACGCUGAGACGCGAAAGCGUGGGGAGCAAACAGG